rnacentral:tRNA from 1 species
GGAGAGAUGGCCGAGUGGUCGAAGGCGCCUGACUCGAAAUCAGGUAUAGUGAAAGCUAUCUAGGGUUCGAAUCCCUAUCUCUCCGCCA